rnacentral:rRNA from 1 species
CGGCAUGCCUUACACAUGCAAGUCGAACGGCAGCAUGGAAGAGCUUGCUCUUCUGAUGGCGAGUGGCGAGCGGGUGAGUAAAGCAUCGGAACGUACCGUGUAGUGGGGGAUAACGUAGCGAAAGUUACGCUAAUACCGCAUACGCACUGAGGUGGAAAGCAGGGGAUCGCAAGACCUUGCGCUAUACGAGCGGCCGAUGUCAGAUUAGCUAGUUGGUAGGGUAAAGGCCUACCAAGGCGACGAUCUGUAGCGGGUCUGAGAGGAUGAUCCGCCACACUGGGACUGAGACACGGCCCAGACUCCUACGGGAGGCAGCAGUGGGGAAUUUUGGACAAUGGGCGAAAGCCUGAUCCAGCCAUGCCGCGUGAGUGAAGAAGGCCUUCGGGUUGUAAAGCUCUUUCGGCUGGGAAGAAAUCGCACAGGCUAAUACUCUGUGUGGAUGACGGUACCAGCACAAGAAGCACCGGCUAACUACGUG